AAACCAAGUAGCAACAGGGUUUAUAAGUUUCCGGUGAGCAAAUCGUUGCUGGUGUGAGUGUUGUCCAAACACAAAAAACGCAGCGUUCUGUUGUAGAAACGCGAUUGGUGGUAUCUUCCGGCGAUCCUAUCGGUGUGCGCACUGGAUAGCUUCCGUGGCCGGCCACCGACACGUGGCGAAGAGCCUUUAGGCCCAAGGCUCGCAUUGGACAGAGACGCAGUCGCAAUUAAAACCAAUAAAAUAAAUGAAUAAACAAAUGGUUUGUGCAGAAGCCAAGCGAGGAACCGGCGAAUAAACAAACUAACUGUUAUGUAUGCGCAUUGCGCACCUCACAACCAGAGUUCUGUCCAAUUCAAUGAACGGCGGCGAGGAGAGAGAGACAACAGCGUUCCGAGCUCUGGCGGAUCGGUGCCGGAGCCUCGAGGAGAAGCAGGCCAAGCUGAGGGAGGAAUUCGAUGAGCUACUGCAAAAGAAGCUCACAGUCAGGCACGAUAAGGAUAACGAGGUCAUUGCUGAUUCAACAACCUUCGGUUUUCUCUCCCGUUACUUCUUCUCCGGAAGUCCGUACGCAACCGUGCUGAAAUGUAUGGGCCACGCUGUUCACGUCGUCAGAGUUCCCUCCGCUGAGAUCGUAUACUGGAAUCACACCGCCGAAACUCUGUAUGGAUGGAAAGACUACGAAAUCAUUGGCCAAAGAGUAACUAAAGUCCUAAUUGCUGAGGAAAAUUAUGUAUCUCUACAAAACAUUCUGGAAAGGGUGGUUUCCGGAGUUCCAUGGUCUGGGAAGUUUCCUUUCAAAAAGAAAUCUGGUGAAGUAGUUAUGGCAUUGGUAACAAAAACUCCUCUUUAUGAGGGUGGUGAGCUUGUUGGUGUUAUAACUGUUUCAAGUGAUGCGGCUAUAUUAAAAUCUACAAAUUCAGAAAAUCAAACAUACAAGUCUGCUAGCAAUGGCCAACCUGGAGUACGGAGGUUAAACUUUAAAAGAAUUCAGUGGCCACCACGACCAACCAUUGCACCAAUGCCACAGAUUGCUUCAUCUGUUUCUAAUCUGGCAUCAAAGCUUCUCCCACUGCUGCAUAGUUCCGAUGACACAGUUUCCAAGAAUACUUCAACAGAUGGUGAUGAAAAGAUGGAGAAGCGUGGCAUAUAUGAAACAAAACCUUAUUCCAGACAUUUCCGUAAAGAAAACACAAUUGUCACGGAGGCCUCUGAGGAGAAUGAGUCGACUGCAGAAUUUGGCCAACCUUCUAAAAUUGCAGCCAAGCUUCAAACUGGGGUACGUGCAAAAUAUGGGAAGGAUAAUGGAAAAAUAAGAAAUAAUUGUGCAGAUGAUAAUUCAGGAAGCAAUAGAAUGAAUUAUGAAAAUGAUUCAUCUGGAGGUUUAGUUCCAUUAAAUGGAUACCAGGAUGUUGUUAAUGGAGCAGAUAAAGAACAAAAUCUUCAGAAAUGUAGUUCUUCACUUGCACUGAAGAGAGCAGAUACAACAGCGUGUGCAUCUAGAGCUUCUACUGUUUCCAAAGAUUAUUCUGAGGCUACGACUAUGGUGACAGGAGAUGAAGUACAAAAGCAGCAAGAAGGGUCGCAACUGCCAAGUUCGAGGGAGAGUACAGGCAGCCAUGAAAGUUUGUCGGGCAAAGGGGAUUAUGAGUCAAACUCUGUUUCAGAGUGUGAAAUCCAUUGGGAAGACCUUCAAUUAAGAGAAGAGAUUGGACAAGGUUCUUAUGCAACUGUUUAUCAUGGAAUUUGGAAUGGAUCGGAUGUUGCAGUCAAGGUUUAUUUUGGGAACGGAUACACAGAGGAGACUUUACAAGAUUACAGAAAAGAGAUUGAUAUAAUGAAGAGAUUGAGACACCCUAAUGUAUUACUUUUCAUGGGAGCAGUAUAUUCACAGGAAAGGCUUGCCAUUGUUACAGAGUUAUUACCUAGGGGAAGCCUUUUCAAAAAUCUACAUAGGAACAAACAGACAUUAGACAUCAGAAGACGUCUAAGGAUGGCUCUUGAUGUAGCUAGAGGAAUGAAUUAUCUUCAUCACAGAAAUCCACCAAUUGUGCAUCGAGAUCUGAAGUCUUCCAACCUGCUUGUAGAUAAAAACUGGACUGUAAAGGUUGGAGAUUUUGGCCUGUCUAGGUUGAAGGAUGCAACUUUAUUGAAUACAAAAUCUGGGAGAGGCACCGUAAUGACGUCACUCGCUUUUUUCAUUUUUAAAUAUGAAACUUCUGACCUGAACAGCUGGCAACUCCUCAAUGGAUGGCCCCUGAAGUCCUUAGAAACGAACCUUCAAAUGAGAAGUCUGAUGUAUUCAGUUUCGGUGUCAUCCUCUGGGAACUAAUGACUCAAUCUAUUCCGUGGAAAAAUUUGAAUUCCUUACAGGUUGUUGGAGUCGUAGGCUUUAUAGACAGACGACUGGACCUUCCGGAAGACCUUGAUCCCCAUGUUGCGUCAAUCAUCCAUGAUUGCUGGCGAAGUGAUCCAGAUCGACGCCCAUCAUUUGAAGAGCUGAUCCAGAGAACAUUAUUCCUUGUCAACAGAGUAACAGCAGUGUCAAUUAGGAGAAUUGCAGAAUCAUAAACGUUUUAUACGUUUUGGGCUUCGCUUUCUCAAGAUGUGUUUGUUAAAAACAGAUUAUGAGAAGCACAAACAACAAAUUCAGUGGCAACUGGCAACCCUUAAAACAUUCUUCCUUCCGAAUGUAGAAGGAAGAACUCGAGAGAGAGAAACGGAAGAGGUGGGAGUAGGCGAUAAAAAUGCUUAUAAUUUUGUUUGAAGUCUUUGUAAAUAUCGAAUUCCGUGUGCAAUCUUGGAUAUAAGGUUCAAAAAUAUUUUAUUUUGAUCACUGGAGGUGAAGCUGAUCCAUGACGUGCUCCUUCUGGGAUCGGUUACUGAAAUAGUGAAUAGCAGAAUAAUUUCCAUUUUUUGGACGAGCAUUCAAAAUUGAAUCCUUCUGGGUUGCUGGAUUUGACUCCAGAUCCUUUGUGUAACUUA